UAUUUAUUAGUUUAAAAAAAAACAUUAUAUUUUCAAUAUAAAAUUAAUAAAAUAAUAAAAAAUUAUAAAUAU
rnacentral:tRNA from 2 species